AGUAAUCUCCUCCCCCACUCCCUCAAACCUUAUCCGCAACAUGGCCAUUUCCAGUUGCUCAGACUGGCCUCUAGCUUGCAUCAACUCUUGCAGAUCAAAUUCCCACGGAUCAACACUCAUCCCGGCAUGCAAAAUCCUCUCCAUUCUCUCAGUGUCAUGCUCAAAAUUCCAAAAUUUUCGGGUCAACUCCUUCGGCUGCUCCCCGUCGCCCAUAUUAGAAGAGGCUUCCGGCAGCCUACCCGUCGUCGAGUUGAACGUAGACUUUCCAGAUUCCGAGCAAUGCACCGUACCAGAUUCUGACAAUCUAAAUGAUCUUUUACGUCGGUUAUUUGGAGAUCCCAAAACCCAGGAACUCGCUUUCGAUUACUAUGAAAAACUGAAACAACGGCCUGAAUUUAGACCCGACAAAUCGACGUUAAAGCAAGUAAUCAGGUAUUUGUCAAGCUCAAAGAAAUGGCAUGCGAUUUUACUUCUUUUCAAGGAUUUUAAGAAUUAUCAUGUGUUCCCAGAUGCCUCCACUUGUUCUAGAUUGGUUAGCAGUUGCAUUAGAGCAAGAAAAUUCAAAAUUGUUGAGACUUUUCUUGAAGAUUUUAAAUCUAAUAGGGAAGUCAGCACUGUGUUGACCUUUGGAUCUGCAAUGAGAGGCUAUAACAAGCUUCAUAUGUAUAGGAGCACGAUAGUAGCAUUUAGGAAAAUGAAAUCUGCCGGAGUUUUUCCGGAUUCUGAAUGUUAUUGCCAUAUCAUGGAAGCUUGUGGCAAAUUGGGUGAUUCUCAGAAAUUGAUUCAACUGUUCAAUGAGCUUCAAAAUAGGGAUGAACUAGAUUUUUAUUCAUCACCCUUUUGCACUCGGAUUUAUGGGAUUCUUUGUGAGUCACUCGCCAAAUCAGGAAGAGCUUUUGAAGCUCUUGAUUACAUGAGGGAAAUGACAGAGAAAGGGAUCUCCAAGGAUUCUUCCCUUUACUCUGCUUUGAUAUGUUGUUUUGCGGGCAUGCGAGAAGUAAAGGUUGCAGAAGAGAUGUACGAAGAAGCAAAAAGCAAAAAGAUGGUGAGAGAUCCCGGGGUGUACUUAAAACUUGUGUUGAUGUAUGUGGAAGAAGGGCCACUGGAGAAGACUCUUGAGAUUGUUAAAGCAAUGAAAGAUUCAGGACUCAGGAUUUCUGAUUGCAUAUUCUGUGCAAUUGUCAAUGGCUUCUCAAAGAAAAGGGGGUUUCUGGCUUCUGUCAAUGUCUAUGAAGAGCUAAUAUUGCAGGGAUGUGAAGCAGGGCAGGUAACCUACUCAUCCAUUAUAAACGCCUACAGCAAUCUGGGCCUUCAUUGGAAGGCCGAGAUGGUGUUCUCAGAGAUGCAACAAAAGGGGUUUGACAGAUGUGUGGUGGCGUAUUCUAGCAUAAUUGUAAUGUAUGGGAAAACAGGGAGGCUUAGAGAUGCAAUGAGGGUGCUGGCGAAGAUGAAAGAAAAAGGGUGUCAACCAAAUGUAUGGAUUUACAACUCCUUGAUGGAAAUGCAUGGGAGGGCCAAGAAUUUGAGGCAGGUUGAGAAGUUGUGGAAGGAAAUGAAGAGAAGAAAGGUUGGACCAGAUAAGGUUAGCUACACUAGUGUUAUUAGUGCUUAUAGUAAGGCAGGGGAGCUGGAAAUUUGUAUGAGAUACUACAAUGAGUUUAGGAUCAAUGGGGGUGUGAUUGAUAGGGCCAUGGCCGGAAUAAUGGUCGGAGUUUUCUCCCGGAGUAGUCGGAUUGAUGAGUUGGUGAAGCUUUUACGGGAUAUGAAAUCUGAAGGAACUCGAUUAGAUGGGAGGCUUUAUCAUUCGGCUUUGGAUGCCUUGAGCGAUGCUGGUUUGCAAGGCCAAGCCCAGUGGUUGCAGGAGUCCUUUGCCACCACCUACUUGAAUUCUUCACUUGAAACUCAUGGCCGAAGGUAGACCAAUUUCCUCACUAUUAUCCCAGACAGUAAGAGAAGAAAAGGCAACGUUGAGAGCCCAGAUAGGAUCAAGGCUAUCUGGAUUGUUGGUAAAAAAAAAUGCCGAAGAAGACAUGACCCGAUCCUCCUCCUCCGGCACCUUUCUCAGCUGCCCAACCACUGGCCGGCUAAGACCAGCGGCGCCCCACCUUCGCCAUCGCAUACCGCGUCCUAGAUGCGCCGCCGCAAGAAUCCACUGCCAGCCAAGCAGGCCGCCGUGCCAGCCAGCCGGCGUCGUUCCUCCGUUCAUCCUUGACUCGUCGCAACCAUUCACAGGUCAGAUCCAGCACCAUCCCAUCCUGCCGGUUCAGCCACGGAAAUUGCCCAGUGCUGCUGCAGACUUCAUCCCACGGAUUUGUUUUGUGAUUUUGAGAAGACAAAAUGUUUGGUGACUAAUGAAGAUUCGGUUGUAUUCGAUGACGAUGUGGUUGAAAUAAAUACAAUAGAAUAUCCUUCUAUUUAUACGAAUCCGAUGACGAAAAAAAGGGUUAAGAAGAAGCGUAAGAAGACCUCAAUAGUUUGGACCAAUUUUGAUGAACUUUCUUCUACAGAUCCAAAUGACCCAAGGAUAUGGGCAAAAUGCAAGUUUGUGAUCAUAAAUAUAUAGCUAAUAGUUCACAUGGAACUAGAAAUCUACAGAAGUAUAGGAAGGUUUGUGGGGGAAAAAUGAUCAUAAUAUUCAGCAAUUGCUCCUAUCUAGAGGUCAAGGAACUCUGUCAGAAUUUCUAGCAUUUGAUGGAGUCGAUUCUGAUGCACAAAAGACUCAAUUAGAACUUUAUUUAGAUGUACCCAAGUAUGUGGAUAAGAAUGCGACGUUUGACAUCCUUUCAUUUUGGAAAGGAAAUGAAUUUCGUUAUCCUAAAGUAGUUGCCAUGGCUCGUGAUAUUUUGAGUAUUCCUAUUUCUACUGUUGCUUCAGAAUCCACUUUUAGUAUUGGUGGACGUGUGAUUGAUCAGUAUAAGAGUUUACUCAAACCUGAUAUUGUUGAGACAUUAGUUUGCACUAGAGAUUGGUUAUAUGGAGAGUAAGAACAAGCUUUAAUGAAGGUGAAUAACAAAGAAGAGGAUAUUCUGACAUUGGAUAGUUCCAAUUCCUGUGACAUUUUAAGUAUAUCUGGAGCAUGUUAAAAUGAGCAUAUUUGUGGAUCAUUCAACUAUUCAAGAGUGGACAACAAAUGUCAAAAAUG